UGUGUGUGUGUGUGUGUGUGUGUGUGUGUGUGUGUGUGUGUGUGUCAGCAGUGCAGUUGAGCUGAAGGUCCGGUCCUGUUGCUGUAUGUGUUCAGUCUUUAGGAUGAAUCUGUGCGUUCUUGUGUUGUGUGUGUUGCUGUCUGCCUCCAGCUGCUCAGGUGACAAAGGCGCCCAAACUGGCUUGCGGGCAGGCUCUAAGUUAGUUACCCUGCAGCCCUGGUUGGUGGGUCUGACAGCUGUAGUUGGAUUCCUCUUCAUCGUCUUUGUCAUCCUGAUCGUUAAUAGACUGCUCCGGAAGAACAGGAAGGAUCCAAAGAGCUAUACCUAUGGCGACAUCACUGCAGAGGUGGAAACUAAACAGACCAGUCUGUAGAGAACCAGCUGAAGAGGCACCUGGGUGAAGGCACCUGCCCAAUACGCCACUUUCUAUUUGCUGGUCUUUGUCUUUGACAGAAAUGAAAAAAAUAUUCAUGGCUUUGAAUAUUUCACUCUAUAUCAUGGAGGCUGUUGUUUUUUGUCACCACUAGAGGGGCACAUUACAUAGAAGAAUCUAUCGCUAACAUCACUGUAGUAAUUCACUCACCACCAAAACCCUAAUAACUCACACAGAACAAAAGAUUGUAUUUAUAACAUAUUUGUCCCAUAUUCUUAUUUUAAAUGAGAUACCUGAAAAAAAUAUAGAACAGAGACAUGUUAAAGAAAUACUGGACAAUGCUCUUUGUCUGAUAUGACACCAGAGCGCCAUGUAUAGUUGGAAAAUGAAAAAUCAACCCAACUAACAACCUGUGAGGGUUUAGUGAUGCGCUCUCCACCCGCAUCAAAAGAACAACUGAGGGAAUAUUUGUUGGAACAAUGCUGUUGAUCCCUCCGGUAUAACAUUAUAUCUCUUUGAGAAUCUGCAGGAUGCUGUGGUGUUGAACAUCAUCUUGUCUCCAUGUCUGAUCCUUUCAUUUUCCUGCUGCUCCAGUAUAACUGUAAUAAUUCACCCUAAUGUAAUUCACCUUACAUUAUAAAUAACUAUUGCUGUCACAA